CUUUAACGUGUUGCUCUCUCUUGGCGCCGUCACACUCCACCGUCGCCGAUGCUUGCCACGGUACCGAUCCUUACUCCGCUAUCGUUCUCCACCUCGCCACACCGCCGUUAAGACUUGUCAUUAGCCUCACCACGCCAUCGCACUCCACCUCACCUCACCGAUAACCUCACCACUGCCGCCGUCUUUGCUUCCAUCGACAGCCACCGGCGACACCUCCAUCGAUAGCCACCAACGACACCUUCGACUCCUCCAAGGAUUUGCUUCCAUCGACAGCCACCACGAAGUCCGACGAUUUCUUAUUGGUGGCUUUUAGGGGAUUUACCUUUGGUAUUACUUGAAGACAUAUGAGGACAUCUUCUGUUAGUUCUAAAAUAGGGUUUAGGUAGAGUUAUUGUAUGUAUUGCAAACAAUAAUUGUAUGGAAGGAGUUUGAAUUGGAUACUUGUUUUAUUUUUUAUUUGUGGAAUGUAUGGAUCUUUUUUUAUGAA